rnacentral:rRNA from 1 species
GCGCCUUGCGCGCACCGGCGGACGGCUCAGUAACACGUCGGUAACCUACCCUCGGGAGGGGGAUAACCCCGGGAAACUGGGGCUAAUCCCCCAUAGGCCUGAGGUACUGGAAGGUCCUCAGGCCGAAAGGGGCUCUGCCCGCCCGAGGAUGGGCCGGCGGCCGAUUAGGUAGUUGGUGGGGUAACGGCCCACCAAGCCGAAGAUCGGUACGGGCCAUGAGAGUGGGAGCCCGGAGAUGGACACUGAGACACGGGUCCAGGCCCUACGGGGCGCAGCAGGCGCGAAACCUCCGCAAUGCGGGCAACCGCGACGGGGGGACCCCCAGUGCCGUGGCAUCGCCACGGCUUUUCCGGAGUGUAAAAAGCUCCGGGAAUAAGGGCUGGGCAAGGCCGGUGGCAGCCGCCGCGGUAAUACCGGCGGCCCGAGUGGUGGCCGCUAUUAUUGGGCCUAAA